ensembl:rRNA 5S_rRNA 5S ribosomal RNA
CUAUGGCCAUACCACUCUGAACAUGCCUGAUCUCGUCUGAUCUUGGAAGUUAGGCAGGGGCAGGCCUGGUUAGUACUUGGGUGGGAGAAAAGAGAGUACCUGAUUUCACAUAGC